rnacentral:rRNA from 1 species
UACAGAGGGUGCGAGCGUUAAUCGGAAUUACUGGGCGUAAAGCGUGCGUAGACGGUUAUUUAAGUCGGGUGUGAAAAGCCCCGGGCUCAACCUGGGAAAUUGCAUUCGAGACUGAAUAGCUAGGGUACGGUAGAGGGAAGUGGAAUUUCCGGUGUAGCGGUGAAAUGCGUAGAUAUCGGAAGGAACAUCAGUGGCGAAAGCGACUUCCUGACCAGUACCGACGUUCAGGCACGAAAGCGUGGGGAGCAAACAGGAAUUAGAUACCCGGAGUAAG